rnacentral:rRNA from 1 species
UACGAAGGGUGCAAACGUUGCUCGGAAUUAUUGGGCGUAAAGCGCACGUAGGCGGCUCUGUAAGUCGGAUGUGAAAUCCCUCGGCUUAACCAAGGAAGUGCAUCCGAAACUGCAAGGCUUGAGUACUUAAGAGGAUCGCGGAAUUCCCGGUGUAGAGGUGAAAUUCGUAGAUAUCGGGAGGAACACCAGUGGCGAAGGCGGCUCACUGGACCACAACUGACGCUGAGGCGCGAAAGCUAGGGGAGCAAACAGG